rnacentral:pre_miRNA from 1 species
AAUAUACUCCCUCCGUCCGAAAAUACUUGUCAUCAAAAUGGAAAAAAAAGGAUGUAUCUAGAACUAAAAUACAUCUAGAUACAUCUCCUUUUAUCCAUUUUGAUGACAAGUAUUUCUGGACGGAGGGAUUACAUG